rnacentral:rRNA from 1 species
AGCCAGACUCCUACGGGAGGCAGCAGUGGGGAAUAUUGCACAAUGGGGGAAACCCUGAUGCAGCGACGCCGCGUGAGUGAAGAAGUAUUUCGGUAUGUAAAGCUCUAUCAGCAGGGAAGAAGUUGACGGUACCUGAGUAAGAAGCCCCGGCUAACUACGUGCCAGCAGCCGCGGUAAUACGUAGGGGGCAAGCGUUAUCCGGAUUUACUGGGUGUAAAGGGAGCGUAGACGGCAGUGCAAGUCUGAAGUGAAAGCCCCGGGCUUAACCCGGGAAUUGCUUUGGAAACUGUACGGCUGGAGUGCUGGAGAGGUAAGCGGAAUUCCUAGUGUAGCGGUGAAAUGCGUAGAUAUUAGGAGGAACACCAGUGGCGAAGGCGGCUUACUGGACAGUAACUGACGUUGAGGCUCGAAAGCGUGGGGAGCAAACAGGAUUAGAUACCCUAGUA